rnacentral:lncRNA from 1 species
UGAGGGAGCUAUUUGACUUUGUUUUGCACUUUUGCUUUAGCCACAUGAGGACACAGCAACAAAGCACCAUUUUCGGCGCUGAGAGCAACCCUCACCAGACAAUGAAUCUGCUGGCACCUUGAUCUUGGAGUUCCCAGCCUCCAGAACUGUGAGGAAUAAAUUUCUGCUGCUUAUGAAUUACCCAGCCUAAGGUCUUACAACUGAAUUACACCUCAGACUUUCCUGGGUUUCCAGUUUGCAGAUGACAUAUCAUGGGACUUUUCGACCUCCAUAGUUGCAUGAGCCAAUUCUCAUAAUAAAUUUUCUCUUCUGCCGGGCGCGAUGGCCUGUAAUCCCAGCACUUUGGGAAGCUGAGGCGGGCGGAUCACGAGGUCAAAAGAUCGAGACACGAGACAAUCCUGGCCUAUAUGGUGAAACCCCGUCUCUACUAAAAAUAACAAAAAUUAGCUGGGCGAGGUGGUACGUGCCUAUAGUCCCAGCUACUUGGCAGGCAGAAGCAGUAGAAUCGCUUGAACCCCGGAGGCGGAGGUUGCAGUGAGUUGAGAUCGCACCACUGCACUCCAGCCUGGCGACAGAACUUUAUUUAAAUAAAUAAAUAAAUAUUAAAAAAUUAAAAAAUUAUCUUCUAUUUAUAUAUAUUGUAGAUAGUUACAUACAUAGUAAUGGCUCUGUUUCUCUGAAAAACGCUAAUUGGGGGAGGGCUCCUCCAAUCGGAUGUACCCACCCAAGACUAUAAGACAGUGUUUCCAGAACCAGGAUUCAUGCCAAAUAAAUUCUGAAAACAAGCAGCAGAAUUGGUUGCAUUUAUUUUGGAUUUCCAGAGAUAGCAAGGACAGCAGAUGUGGUGGUACCAUUGAGAGUCCAUGUUCUUUGCAUUGGCAGCACAAGCCACAUCUGGAAAUCAGCUGUGCCGUCUUCUUCUCCAUGCUGUAGAGGGUCUUUGGAACAUUGCUCUUGGGCAUGUAGCCUCCUGGUUUAGUUCUGAGCAUUCCAGGAGGUUCUGUGAGCCUCCCAAAUACUUUCAUGAAUCUAUUUUCCACUAAUAUCAGUCAGAAUAUGUUUUUAUUUCUUCCAGAUGAGAAUCUGGACUGACAUACAAUAAAACGUAAAUGAGCCUGGGUGUGGUGGCUCACACCUGUAAUCCCAGCACUUUGGGAGGCAGAGGCAGGAGGAUCAUUUGAGAUCAGGAAUUCAAGACCAGCCUGACCAACACGGUGAAACCCCAUCUCUACUAAAAAUACAAAAAUUAGUAACGUGUGAUGGCGCAUGGCUGUAAUCUCAGCUACUCGGGAGGCUGAGUCAGGAGAAUCCCUUGAACCUGGGAGGCAGAAGUUGCAGUGAGCCGAGAUCACACCACUGUACUCCCGCCUAGGCGACAGAGUGAGACUCUGUCUCACAAAAAAAAAAAAAAAAAAAAAAAAAAAAAAAAGUAAAUAAAGGCUGAUGAAUACAUGUUUUAAAAAUACAAACCCAUCUUACAUCUAAGUAUCAAUGUUAAUAUAAAAAUCAGUUGGCCGGGCGCGGUGGUUCAAGCCUGUAAUCCCAGCACUUUGGGAGGCCAAGGUGGGUGGAUCAUGAGGUCAGGAGAUCGAGCCCAUCCUGGCUAACACGGUGAAACCCCGUCUCUACUAAAAAUACAAAAAAUUAGCCAGGCAUGGUGGCGGGCGCCUGUAGUCCCAGCUGCUCGGGAAGCUGAGGCAGGAGAAUGGCGUGAACCAGGGAGGUAGAGCUUGCAGUGAACGGAGAUCGCACCACUGCACUCCAGCCUGGGCGUCAGAGCGAGACUCCUUCUGGAAAAAAAAAAAAAAAAUCAGUUAAUAGAAUACAGCAACUUCUUAGGAGAAUACUUCACCAUGACUCAGAGGGGUUUUCCCAAAGAAAGAUUUUCAGUAUUAGGACAUCUGCUAUAAUUAAUAUAAUUAAAAGGUCAAAAUAAAUAAGCCAUUUAAUCAUUACUAUAGAUGCCAAAAAAAGUAUUAUAAAGUUUAAUAUUUAUUAGUGAUUCAAAAGAAACCUUUGUAAAACUGGAAUGAGAGAUUAUUUCCAACAUAUAAUAUGUUUCUUCAAACUCAAAUUGCAUCAUGCCUAAUGGGGAAACUAUAUAUUCUGACUAACAUCAGGAACAAGAUAAGCAUCCCACAACUUUAAUAUUAGUUACUACAAUUUUUUAAGAAUUAAACAAAGUAAGUAGAAAAAAAGAAGAAAUAAGUCACAAAAAUUAAAGAACAAGAGAAAAAAUGUCAUUUAUUUUAGAUGGUAUGAUUGUAUACCUGUAGGGGCUCAAAGGCAUCAACUGAUAUUCAAUUGUAAAGUUAAAAAAUAAUUAAGCUGGCUAGAUACAAAUUAAUAUAAAAAACAUCAUGGCUCUCCUACAAUGACUUUCUUUACAACUAGUUAGGAAAAUGUAGUAAAGAUUUUAUUUACAAUAGCAACAGUAAAAAAAAAAAUUAGGAAUAAACGUAAAGGUGUAAGAAUUAUGUGAUGAAUAGCCAAAGAGAGAUAUUUUUAAGAGUUGAAUAAAUAACAAUGCAUACUUUUUUUAAAUUUUCACUGCUAUAGUUGUGUUUAUUUCCCUUAAUUUAUUUUAUAAAUACAAUGCAAUCCCAAUAAAAAUACACUUUUUUUUUGAGACUGGGUCUUGCUCCCCUGCCCAGGCUGGAUUGCAGUGGUGAGAUACUGCAGCUUUGAGCUGCCUGGGCUCAGGUGAUCCUCCUGCCUCAGCCUCCUGAGUAGCUGGUACCACAGCUUGCGCUACCACACCCAGCUAAAUUUUAUUUUUUGUAGAGACAGGGUCUCACCAUAUUGCCCAGGCUGGUCUUAAACUGCUAGACUUAAGCAAUCCACCUGCCUCAGCCUCCCUAAGUGCUGGAAUUACAGGCGUGAGCCACCGCACCUGUCCCAAAUAUGUUUUAUGAUGGAACAAGACACGGAUUACAAAAUUCAUGUAGAAAAUUAAAGAAUACCAAGUCAAUAAAGAAGUAAUGAAGAAAUAGCCCUAUCAGAUAUUUAAAUCUGCUAUAAAGUAUAGUAAUUAAAGCAAUGUGACAUAAGUAAUAGAAAGAUCAGUAGAAUAGAGGAGUCCAGAGAGAGACCUGAAGAGAGAGAGAGGACUUCAUAUAUGAUAAGGCAGCAUUUUACAAUAGUGAAAAAUUAUAAAGUAUUCAAGAGAUAAUACUGGAUAACUGUUUGCCUAUUUGGAAAAGAACAAAACAAGCUGUAUUCCUACCUAAUUCCUUAGACCAUGAUAUAUUCCAACUGUAUGAAGUGUUUAAUGUAAAUAAAUGAAAAAGUUAAAGUUCUAGAUGAAAGCCUGAGAGGAUUUUGGGAGGAGGCCUUUCUUGAUAUUCAAAACAUAGAAGCCAUUAAAGAGUUUGAUAAAUGCAUUAAAAUAAAACAUUCCUAAACAAUGGCAAUUAUGUAUAUAUAAAUACAUAUACAUAAUAAAUGUAUAAGUAUAUAAAUAGCUACACACACACAUACAUAUAUGUGUGCAUCUAUUUUGUGUGUGUAGAGAGAGAGAGAGAGAAAGAAGAGAGAGUAGUAAUCAUGUCAGAAAGGAAACACAUUGGAAAGGAGUCUGGCAAGAGCUUACUCUGAGAAAGCUUGAGCCACUCAGGUGGCUAAAUCCUGGGCAAGAUAGAAAGGAAGAUGGUGAAGCUCAUUCUCUCUCAUUCCCUUCUGCAGAGGAGCAUGUUCCACCAGGGAGCUUGAAUCAUCACACUGUGAGAAGCAGGUACUGUAAGAGCUCUAGUAGAGCUGAGACCCAUUCAAAGCCUCAAGCUCCAGUCCUGAAUGUAUAACCGCCAAGUCCUUGCUGAGUACAAAUAGGAAGUAUCUUAGCUUAGGAUUAUCAGGAAACAGCUUCUGAGAUGGAGACUUUCACAAUGGAUGCUUAUCAAAGAAGGAAUGGUCUGGGAAACAACAUCCGUAGUGGUGAAGGAAGUAGUAUUGCAUAGAAAGAGGUCAUGAACUGCAGGAAACUCGUAGCAGCCAACCCUCU